rnacentral:misc_RNA from 1 species
AAUGUGAUAUUGUUCCACCUGAUAUUCUAGUAGUGUAACAAUACUCCUGGGGUUAACAUGCUUCUAAUAGAUAAUCAUUGUGCUAGACUCAUCCUACCAGCACUGAUUAUCUGUUACACUGACGCCAUACCUACAAACUUAGAUUCUGAGCAGACCUUGGGAAGUUUACAAGAUCCAUACAAUCCAUCAAUAAAUCCUGUUAAGCCAUAUCAACCUCUAGAGGAUCCCCAUGAAUCCAUAUCUAAGGAUCAGGAAUCAGUUUCGGAUCCAUCAGAGUAUAAACUAACAGAUGAUGUUGCUCUUCUCGAAGAUUCUCUUUCUAAACUACAACAAGAAAACGAAGGACUAAAACAAGAUUCUUACAAAGGAAGACAGAUAACAGCUCCAGAUACCGACAAAACACUGGAAUCCACUUCAAAUCCGGAGAAAUAUGCACCUUAUCUUGAUCUAGAAUCCAAUAAACCGCCUAAUGAUGCGUUUAAAUACAUUGAAAAAACAUCAGGUUCGAAGGAAACCGAAGGAAUACUUUCAAGUGAGAUUCUUAAAAGCUCCAAUUUGUCGUCCGCAAACUUGGAUGAAUUGCCCAUUGAAGAAUUAGUUAGUUCCCUUCAACAACUGGAAAGUUUGGACACACCAAUUGCUGGAAAAGACAAAGCAAAAAAUGAAAAAGAAAAUGUCUAUUCUUCAAAAGAUAAUAGGGGGAUAGUAAAGGAAAGAGGUGAGAAAGAGAAUGAAAGAACUUUAAAUAAAGAAAGAGAAGAAGAAGAAAAACUGACAGAGGAUCUUAAAAGAACAGAAGAGGAGAUAAGAAGAGAAGAGGAUAGAUAUGAUACAACUGAAAACUCUAUACCUGUCGAACUGUGUAUGGAAAAUGAAGAAGAACAUAAAAAUGGAGAUUCUUGGAUGUGUUGUGACGGCUGCAACAAAUGCAAAUGUGUUGUUGACAGUAUUAUCUCAACUAAAAGAGCUUGUUCCCCAUACCUGAAUAAAUGCAAAACAAAAAUAAACAAAAAUGAAAUUAAUAAUUCUAAGUCAAUUGAGACUUAUUCAUCAACAUCAGAAAGUUAUAAUAGCGAGCAAGAGAAAAGACAAGGUGCUUUAAACAAUUAUGGGAAUUUCACAUAUCACGAAGAAAACGUCAAUGAGAACUCAAAUUCUGAGGAAGUUCACCGUGGGAAGAAUUGUAUUGAAAAUGGAGAACAGAAAGAAGAUGGGACGUCAUGGGAUUGUUGUGACGGUUGCAAUAGAUGUAAGUGUGCUGAUGGAAGAAUAAUCUCAACUGAAAGAGCUUGUUUUGCAAACCUUGAUAAAUGCAAAACCAAAAGAAAUCAAAAUGAAACCAUCAAUUACAUUUCAACUGAAUCAUACACCCCAACUUCAGAACGUUAUAGUCCUGAUAAGAUUAAAACUACUUAUGCCCCAACUACUGAAGAAGUUCAACUUAGUAAGGAUUGUAUUGAAAAUGGCGAAGUUAAAGAAGAUGGUUCAUCAUGGGAUUGUUGUGACGGUUGCAAUAGUUGUUCCUGCAAGGAUGGUCUGAUUGUGUCAACAAAACAGUUUUGUCCCCCCAGAUUAGGAAGAUGCAAUAAAAAAGUUUCUGAUGCACAAGAAAUUCCUACAACACUCCCCACUGGAAACCCUUACACAGUUGACGCAGAAAAGAAAGAAGUUCCAGAAAGUGAAAAGCUCUUUGAUGAAAUAUCCCACAUGGAGUCAGAUAUUGCAGAAAGUUUAGGAGCUAAACCUGUAAAUAUCACUAAAGUUAUAGACCAAUAUCAAAAUGCAACCAACAGCCCUAUUCCUGUUCAAAAUAAAGAGGGAGAAUACAGACAACCCAUUCAGCCAAACCUUCAGCAGACUGAUGUGUAUCCUCAUAAAAAUCAGAAAGAUCUUUUUGCUGAAAUAAAUAAUAUGCUUGAGAAUAUUAACAAAGAACAUGAAAAGAAUAUGGAGAGCAUCAAGAACACCAAUGCAUAUUCAGAGUUGGAAAAUCAAAUCAAUUCUUUAACCAAGCAAAGAGUUAAUGAACCAGAAGUCUAUGACCCAUCUAAUAUGACAAUUCAAUUGACAGCUGCAGAGGAGCAUUCAAGUAAACUGGACCAAGAAAACUCUUCAGAAACUCCUGAUAAACUGCUGGUGGAUAUAUCUACAGAUGAUGUUCAAGAUGUUGAUAAUGAUGGACAUACAUAUCAUCUUCAUCUUAAACAAAGAUUACUGAAAGAACUUGGAGACUCUGGAAAAAACUAUGUCAUCCACAUCAAGAUUCCAGAAAAAUAUGACUUUAACAACAACAAGAAUAUAUAUCAUUUUAACUUUCCACCAAUUCUUCGUAAUACCCCAAACUCAGAAGACAAUCAGACAUAUCCACCAGUGGGUCCUGUUGAAGCAAAACAAUACCCUCACGGCAGUCCUAGUCAAGUUAAACAGUAUCCUCCAACUGGUCCUGCUGAAACAAAACAAUAUCCUCCACCUGGUCCUGGUGAAGAAAAACAAACUCUUUCAGCUGGUUCUGGUGAAGUUAAAGAAUAUCCUCCAGCUGGUCCUGGUGAUGUGCAACAAUAUCCACCAGCAGGUUCUGCUGAAGUUAAAGAAUAUUCUCCAACUGGUCCUGGCGAAAUUAAACAAUAUUCACCAGCUGGUCCUGCUGAAGUUAAAAAAUAUUCUCCAGCUGGUCCUGGUGAAGUUAAAGAAUAUCCACCAGCUGGUCCUGCUGAAGUUAAAGAAUAUCCUCCAGCUGGUCCCAGUGAUGUGCAACAAUAUCCACCAGCAGGUUCUGCUGAAGUUAACCAAUAUUCUCCAGCUGAUCCUGGCGAAGUUAACCAAUAUCCACCAGCUGGUCCUGCUAAAGUUAAAGAAUAUUCUUCAGCUGGUCCUGGUGAAGUUAAAAAAUAUCCACCAGCUGGUCCUGAUGAAGUGAAACAAUAUCCACCAGCAGGUCCUGCUGAAGUUAAAGAAUAUUCUCCAGCUGGUCCUGUUGAAGUUAAACAAUAUCUGCCAGCAGCUCCUGGUGAAUUUAAAGAAUAUCCACCCGCUGGUCCUAGUGAAGUUAAAGAAUAUCCACCAGCUGGUCCUGCUGAAGUUAAAGAAUAUUCUCCAGCUGGUCCUGGUGAAGUUAAACAUUAUCUACCAGCAGGUCUUGGUGAAGUUAAAGAAUAUCCACCAGCUGGUCCUAGUAAAGUUAAAGAAUAUCCACUAGCUGGUCCUAGUGAAGUUAAAGAAUAUCCACCAGCUGGACCCGGUGAAGUUAAAGAAUAUAUGCCAGCUGGACCUAGUGAAGUCAAAGAAUAUCCCCCAACUGGACCUGGUAAAGUUAAAGAAUAUCCAUCAGCUGGACCUGGUGAAGUUAAAGAAUAUCCACCUACCGGACCUGGUGAAGUUAAGGAAUAUCCAUCAGCUGGACCUGGUGAAGUUAAAGAAUAUCCACCUACCGAACCUGGUGAAGUUAAAGAAUAUCCAUCAGCUGGACCUGAUGAAGUUAAAGAAUAUCAACCAACUGGUCCUGGUGAAGUUAAAAAAUAUCCUGUAGCUGGUCCAGGUGAAGUUAAAUACUAUCCACCAGCUGGUUCUGGUGAAGUUAAAGAAUAUCCUUCAGCUGGUCCUGAUAAAGUAAAACAAUAUCCACCAGCUGGUCCUGAUGAAAAAAAGGAAUAUCCACCAACUGGUACUGCCAAAAAUAAAGAACAUUCAUCAGCUGGUCCAGGUGAGGUAAACGAAUAUCCACUAAUUGGUUCUGAUGAAGAGAAAAGAUAUCCAACAGUCGGUCCAAAUGAUAAUAGGAAAUAUCCUCCGAUACCUGAUUUACAAAUAGAAGCAACUUUACCCCCUUCUACUCCAGCUUUGGUUCCAGUGGACCUCGAUAAUCAACCAAUUAGAGAUUGAUCCAGAAACCCCUCCUCCUAUUCAAAAAGGGUUGAAUUAACAGCGACUUUUUAAAUGAAUUUCUGCAAGUGGAUGAGUUUGCCAGCUGCUAAAAAAAAGUUUAAAUGUUGAAAAUGUUAAAAUUUAAAGUUAAAAUUAAAUAAAAAUAGUUCAAUGUUUAUUUUAAAUAUUUUUUCAGUGAACGUUAAAGAUUAAUUUACAACCAUUCAUGGCCUUGGUCAAGGGUUGAG